rnacentral:lncRNA from 1 species
GUCAAAUGGCCAAAUAAUAUGACCUUUCACAUAAAUACUUACUCCUGAAUUUUUUGAACAAUAAUGUUAUCGCUUCUCUCCCACGUUUCACGAAGGCCCUCAGCCAUCUGCCAAUUCCAAUAUAUGAAAAUUAUUUUACAUAUUAUAUUAAACAUUGAAAAUUCUUUUACGUAUUAUUUUUUUUUUUACGUAUUCCUAUUGAAGAAUCUCAUUUGAGCAUUUUGUGGUCAAUUUGACUUGACAGAAACAACAGAACUUUCAAUUAGAAGGAAGCAAGAUGCCCAGUUUUUUUGAACUGCUGUUUUGUUUUUUUUUUUUUGCUUCAAAUUGCUGUAAAUUGGAGAUGUUUUCCAUAACUACUUCGGCUUGGAGCCCUCUCUCUACUCCUUAUGUAAUUUUAAGAAAUAGAUAAAAUCCAAGUUAAACUAGAUAAGUGGAAAAGAUAUCUCUUUUUUUUCUCUCUCCCUCUUUACCGGCUGCCAUGCUGGGUGAAGAACUCUAAGCACCUACUAGGCGGGAAUGGGUUUUGCUUAGGCAAGAAAAGCGGAGAGGAUCCCCACGAAAACUCUGAAACCGAGGGAUCUCGGCGCGCAUUUUACUUGACCUACGCGGCUGGCUUGGCUCCCUCCUUUUUUUCUCUCUCCCUCUCUACCGGCUGCCAUGCUGAGUGAAGAACUCUAAGCAUCUACUAGGUAGGAUCAGGUUUUGCUUAGGCAAGAAAAGCGGAGAGGAUCCCCACGAAACUCUGAAACCGGGGGAUCUCAGCGCGUAUUUUACUUGACCUAAUCGGCCGGCUUGGCUCCCUCUUUUUUUCUCUCUCCCUCUCUAAAGACUACCACGCUGGGUGAAGAACUCUAAGCACCUAUAGGCGGGAUCGGGAUUUGCUUAGGCAAGAAAAGCGGAGAGGAUCCCCACGAAAACUCUGAAACCGGGGGAUCUCGGCGCGCAUUUUACAUGACCUAAGAGGCUGGCUUGGCUCACUCUUUUUUUGCUCUCUCCCUCUCUACAAGUUGCCAUGUUGGGUGAAGAACUCUAAGGACCUACUAGGCGGGGUCAGGUUUUGCUUAGGCAAUAAAAGCGGAGAGGAUCCCUACGAAAACUCUGAAACCGGGGGAUCUCGGCGCGCAUUUUACUUGACCUAAGCGGCUGGCUUGGGUCCCUCUUUUUUUUUCUCUUUCCCUCUCUAUCGGCUGCCAUGCUAGGGAACUCUAGUGACCCACUAGGCGGGGGCCGGGUUUUGCAACCCUUAGCAGCUUGGUCGUAUUGUUUUGUUUUUAUCGGCUGUUAUGUUGGGUGAAGAACUCUAAGAACUUGCCGACUUUGCUUUCUACCUGACCUAACAAUCAUAUUUUGCUUUCAAACAAUCUUAUACAAAUGUGUAUGACCAAAGAGGGAUUUAAAAUUAAUAUAAAAAAGGCAUUAGAAUAUGGCAAAAAAGGGAAUUAAAAUUGAGAUAAAAAAGACAACCGCACAUAUUAUUAUGUACAUAAUUCACAACAUUCAGAAAAUGAACUAAGUGUUCUACUCAUUUCUAAGCUAUCAAUAUAUGCAUUUUCAACAUAUGUAACAUAUUCAAAUAAAAAAUACAAUCACAAAUCCGAGCUCCAUUCUCAUGCGUUAGGCAUACAUGCUUUUUUAUGCUAAAAAGCGAAGUAGACAUGCUACUUAUUCUAAGCAUAGAGCAUUGCAAAAGUUUCUAAAUUUUGACAUUUUUAGAAAAUUUGCAAAAUGAAAAUUUCUCAAAGGACAUGGAAUGUGCAAGGCUACAACCCCACCCCCCACUUAAAAAUUUGCAUUGUCCUUAGAGCAUUUUAAGCAAGAUUCUACGGAUGGAAAAAAAAGAAAGAAAAAGGAGAACAGAAGACCUCCCCUUGUAACCUAGUUUCUUCAUGGAAGCUUGCUUGCAAAGAUCCCAAGUUUGGUUAUAUUUCAUUUUCCUUUAUUCCUACAAAAAGAAAACAAGAAUUUCCAUCGAAUUUUAUUAAAAAUGUUAAAUAAAAAUUUUAGAAAAAUGUGCAGAAUUGUUUAAGCUCGGUUGCAUUUUCUAAGCAUCACUUGAAUUAUUAAAACGACCUAACAAAUAUUCAAUACAAGUUCGUAAUUCAUAACCUACCAAAAAGUUCAAAAAGAUUGUUGUAGGUGUUCCACCAAACCUUUUGUAAAUUACAUACAUCAAUAAACUUACUUCUUAUAAGGGGGGGAAGAAACUAUGUUUUAGGGACAGAUGGCUCUAAAGCACACAAACACUCUCCAUCUCACUCUCUAUCUGCCCUGUAUCUAAUUUAAUCCAGCAUUCAUUUGGGGCAUUGUAGGUUCAUAUUAAAAAAUAAUCAUUCAUGUCGUGAUGCAAAGGCCCUUUUUAUGUAUCUAGAACUAAAAUCACGAAAAUCAUCGUGGACAUGCAGCACAAACAAACUGAAUAUCCAUGGGAAGCCUUUGCUAACAAAAUGGUUGACAAUAAUUACUCAGAUAAUAUGUCCUUUCACAUAAAUAUUUACUCCUGAAUUUUUUGAAGGAUAAUGUUAUCGCUUCUCUCCCACGUUUCACAAAAAGUCUUUUACAUAUUAUAUUUUUGUUACAUAUUCCUAUUGAAGAAUCUCAUUUGAGCAUUUUGUGGUCAAUUUGACUUGAAAGAAACGGCAGAACUUUCAAUAAGAAAGAAGCAAGAUGCCCAGUUUUUUUGAACUGCUGUUUUUCUCUUCUUUUUUUUUCUUUAACUUGCUGUAAAUUGGAGAUGUUUUCCAUAACUACUUUGGCUUAUGUAAUUUACCUUCUCCC